rfam:Schistosoma curassoni strain Dakar, Senegal genome assembly, scaffold: SCTD_contig0029014
AUCCAGCUGAUGAGUCCCAAAUAGGACGAAACGCGCGUCCUGGAU